rnacentral:rRNA from 1 species
GAUGAACGCUGGCGGCGUGCCUAAUACAUGCAAGUCGAGCGAACAGACGAGGAGCUUGCUUCUUUUACGUUAGCGGCGGACGGGUGAGUAACACGUGGCUAACCUACCUAUAAGACUGGGAUAACUUCGGGAAACCGGAGCUAAUACCGGAUAACAUGUUGAACCGCAUGGUUCAUCAGUGCAAGACGGUCUUGCUGUCACUUAUAGAUGGAUCCGCGCCGCAUUAGCUAGUUGGUAAGGUAACGGCUUACCAAGGCUACGAUGCGUAGCCGACCUGAGAGGAUGAUCGGCCACACUGGAACUGAGACACGGUCCAGACUCCUACGGGAGGCAGCAGUAGGGAAUCUUCGGCAAUGGGCGAAAGCCUGACGGAGCAACGCCGCGUGAGUGAAGAAGGUCUUCGGAUCGUAAAACUCUGUUAUUAGGGAAGAACAAAUGUGUAAGUAACUAUGCACGUCUUGACGGUACCUAAUCAGAAAGCCACGGCUAACUACGUG